rnacentral:rRNA from 1 species
UGGGGAAUUUUGGACAAUGGGCGAAAGCCUGAUCCAGCAAUGCCGCGUGUGUGAAGAAGGCCUUCGGGUUGUAAAGCACUUUUGUCCGGAAAGAAAUGGCUCUGGUUAAUACCUGGGGUCGAUGACGGUACCGGAAGAAUAAGGACCGGCUAACUACGUGCCAGCAGCCGCGGUAAUACGUAGGGUCCAAGCGUUAAUCGGAAUUACUGGGCGUAAAGCGUGCGCAGGCGGUUGUGCAAGACCGAUGUGAAAUCCCCGAGCUUAACUUGGGAAUUGCAUUUGUGACUGCACGGCUAGAGUGUGUCAGAGGGGGGUAGAAUUCCACGUGUAGCAGUGAAAUGCGUAGAGAUGUGGAGGAAUACCGAUGGCGAAGGCAGCCCCCUGGGAUAACACUGACGCUCAUGCACGAAAGCGUGGGGAGCAAACAGG